GAAUGCUGACAUAAGUAACGAUAAAGCGGGUGAAAAGCCCGCUCGCCGGAAGACCAAGGGUUCCUGUCCAACGUUAAUCGGGGCAGGGUGAGUCGACCCCUAAGGCGAGGCCGAAAGGCGUAGUCGAUGGGAAACGGGUUAAUAUUCCCGUACUUGGUGUUACUGCGAAGGGGGGACGGAGAAGGCUAUGUUGGCCGGGCGACGGUUGUCCCGGUUUAAGCGUGUAGGUGUGUGUUCCAGGUAAAUCCGGUUCACUUUAACACUGAGGCGUGACGACGAGGCACUACGGUGCUGAAGCAACAAAUGCCCUGCUUCCAGGAAAAGCCUCUAAGCAUCAGGUAACAUCAAAUCGUACCCCAAACCGACACAGGUGGUCAGGUAGA
rnacentral:rRNA from 1 species